AAACCCACCCUCCCCCACCAGACCAAAGACCAAACCCACCCUCCCACCAGACCUGCAGUCACAGAGCACAUAAAAAUCAUUCCUUCUCAUCAUACACCCAUCAGCGACAGCACUCCUCCUACGACCCCAUACCCGCCCUUCUACGACGUCAAAUAUAAAAAACAGUUUGUUCCAGUUGCUCCAAAAACUCCUUUCCCAGUGGAUCCUUUCAG